rnacentral:tRNA from 1 species
GUUCUCUUAGUUAAAUGGAUAUAACGGGUCCCUCCUAAGGACCAGUUGGGGGUUCGAUUCCCUCAGGGAACA